GAAUGAAGUGAUGAUUAUUGUUUUCCUAUUGGUUUGGUUGCUGAGAUGAUGGCAACGACCUUAUGUAUUAGCUCUAUCUGAUCAUUC